rnacentral:rRNA from 1 species
GAUGAACGCUGGCUACAGGCUUAACACAUGCAAGUCGCGGGGCAGCAUGGGGGUUGCUUGCAAUCCCCGAUGGCGACCGGCGCACGGGUGAGUAACGCGUAUCCAACCUGCCCUUCACCACGGGAUAACCCGGCGAAAGUCGGACUAAUACCGUAUGUUGUCCAUUGACGGCAUCCGAUUUGGACGAAAGGCUUGGCGGUGAGGGAUGGGGAUGCGUCCGAUUAGCCAGACGGCGGGGUAACGGCCCACCGUGGCUACGAUCGGUAGGGGUUCUGAGGGGAAGGUCCCCCACACUGGAACUGAGACACGGUCCAGACUCCUACGGGAGGCAGCAGUGAGGAAUAUUGGUCAAUGGGCGUAAGCCUGAACCAGCCAAGUAGCGUGCAGGAUGACGGCCCUAUGGGUUGUAAACUGCUUUUAUGCGGGGAUAAAGUGGCCCACGUGUGGGCUUUUGCAGGUACCGCAUGAAUAAGGACCGGCUAAUUCCGUG